rnacentral:SRP_RNA from 1 species
GCUGGGCGUGGUGGCGCACACCUGUAGUCCCAGCUACUUGGGAGGCUGAGGCAUGAGAAUCACUUGAGCCCCAGAGGUGGAGGUAGCAGAGAGCCGAGAUCACGCCACUGCACUCCAGCUUGGGCUACAGAGUGAUAUCCUGUCUCAA